rnacentral:misc_RNA from 1 species
ACAUCCUGAAGGAGAUCGUGACGGAGUUUGAAUUGGUAUACAACAAGAUUACGAACACGGAGCUUGCGGUGGUGAGUUCGGUUGUGCAGUUGGAGCAGCAGCAUUUGGCGCAGAUCGCGAAGCAGGUGCAGAAAUUGAGCGGAGCGAAGAAUGUGAGGAUAAAGACGCAGAUCGAUCCGAGUCUGGUGGCUGGAUUUACAGUCAGGUUUGGGAAUUCUGGAUCGAAACUUAUUGAUUUGAGCGUCAAG